UACGUAGGUGACCAGCGUUGUCCGGAUUUACUGGGCGUAAAGAGCGCGCAGGCGGUCGUUCAAGUCGAGUGUGAAAGCCCCCGGCUCAACUGGGGAGGGUCACUCGAUACUGAUCGACUUGAAGGCAGGAGAGGGAAGCGGAAUUCCCGGUGUAGUGGUGAAAUGCGUAGAUAUCGGGAGGAACACCAGUGGCGAAGGCGGCUUCCUGGCCUGUUCUUGACGCUGAGGCGCGAAAGCUAAGGGGAGCAAACGGG
rnacentral:rRNA from 1 species